rnacentral:rRNA from 1 species
CCUACGGGUGGCAGCAGUGGGGAAUAUUGCACAAUGGGCGCAAGCCUGAUGCAGCGACGCCGCGUGCGGGAUGGAGGCCUUCGGGUUGUAAACCGCUUUUGUUCAAGGGCAAGGUACGGUAUUCGGCCUUGUUGCGUGGUGUGUUCGAAUAAGCACCGGCUAAAUACGUGCCAGCAGCCGCGGUAAUACGUAGGGUGCAAGCGUUAUCCGGCUUUCUUGGGGGUAAAGGGCUCGUCGGCGGUUCGUCGCGUCCGGUGUGAAAGUCCAUGGCUUAACGGUGGAUCCGCGCCGGGUACGGGCGAGCUUGAGUGCGGUAGGGGAGACGGGAAUUCCCGGUGAAACGGUGGAAUGUGUAGAUAUCGGGAAGAACACCAAGGGCGAAGGCAGGUCUCUGGGUCGUUACUGACGCUGAGGAGCGAAAGCGUGGGGAGCGAACAGGAUUAGAUACCCGGGUAGUC